UACCCAGUGUACCUACCGUGGACUCCACACUUGCCUUCACUUGUUCUGAAGAUAAUCAGAUAGUAACCUCUAUCUGUGGCAAUGAUGGACGAUGGAAUCCUGACCCUGAGGAGUUCUUGUGUCCAACAAUGAAAUCCCCAGUGACCUGCCCAGUUCCCGGGUCCCCCUCUAUGGGCAUUAUGAACACUAGUGGUCAGUCUUACAUAGAAGGGUCACAGGUCAUAUCAGUGCAAUAAUGAACACUUUCCCACGGGUAUUCUGACUGCAAUUUGCACAAGAGAUGGACAAAAUAGAGUGUGGGAUCCUGAUCCAAGUGCUGUGGUGUGCAGGGCUUUGCCAGUCAACUGCACUGUCCCUGAGGAGCCAUCCAACGGCACUAUAGUGAACUAUGAGAGGUUGAAUGAGACAGUGUUGGAGGGAAUAGUGCUGACUUACCAGUGUGACAAUGGACUCUCAUUGAUAGGACCCAACUCCAUCAUUUGCACUAAUGCUGGAGUCUGGAACCUUGAGCCUAUAGCACCAUCAUGUGUGUGUCCCCAAAAACUGUCCGUAGCAGCCAACUAUCAGACGAUAAAGUUCCAAAAGUCGCAGCUGGUCCAGUAUACAAGGAAGUCGGUCUAGCAACAGCGCAACGAACACAAGACAUUCAAGUGGAGUCCAAUGAAGCUUAUGAACAAAUGGCAAAGCAAAACAUUGAGUUGCAGUCAAACCAGGCUUAUGGAGAACUCAAAUAUACAGCUUAAUAUAUUGAACUGAACUACUUGUUUGUUGAUUCAAUAUGGUAUAAGAUAGCAAUCAUUCCCAUGGGUAUUCUGACUGCCACUAGCACAACAGAUGGACAAAAUGGAGUACGAGAGCCUGAUCUCAGUACUAUACAUAGUGCUGUUACUUUAUUAACUGCGUGCUGUCCUACAAGGUCAACUGCACUGCCCCUGAGGAGCCAAGCCAUCAGCAGCCAGGGUGCUUUUCAUUAUUUAUAGUUGAGGGUGUAUUUUGUGCAAACACUGUUGUGUUUGAGUUUUGUGAUGGUCUCCUACUGAAUGUGUGGGUGGAAGUAUGCAAAAUAAUAUUAUUUUUCUGAUCUUACACUAAUU